rnacentral:lncRNA from 1 species
UACCAACAGCCCAUAUUCUUGUUUCCGGCCCAUCAAAGACCAACUCACAAGUCACAUAUAAAAGCAACUAAACCUAAGUGCUCAGCGUAUCUCUACUCCCCACUCUCCUGUCUUGCCGCCGCCGCCGCCGCCUGGUUAGCAAGUCACGUGUUGUGCAUCGCACACUCGCACUUCUGCAAUCCCAUAGCACCACGCUCGUGGUCCUUCUUGCUCGCAAGUUCCAGAUCGAGAGCCGCACUCCCUCCUCUUGCAGUCUUUCUCACGCAUGCAGCAUGCGUUCCAGAUUAAGAGCCGCACUCCCUCCCUCUUGCAGCGUGCAUCCUUGAACGCUUGUCCAUGAUUGGCUAAAGGAAGAGGAAAGAAGCAUAGAAAUACUGGUCCUUCAACUCUCAUCCGAGAUUGGAUAAAGAUUGAAUCUUUGGAGCACAGCACUGUUGUCCGCCUUGUAUUUUUUUUUUAUUUGGAUUUUUCGAGAUAGGAACUACGAUUGUUUGUUGGCAAUCUGGACAUGGGAACUACUUUCUCGAUUGAAAACUUUACUGCCCUUGUCGCCACUUGCAAUCAAGCAAUUGGCCUCGCCGUUUCCACCCUUCUCUAGAUAUGCCGGGCACACGGUCAUGCCCGCGGGCAAGGCGCACCCUCGGGUAGCGUUUGUGUUCAAUUUUUCAUUUUACCUACAUGGUUGUUGGCUUCUGAUUUGCUAUGUAUUUAGUGUCCAUCUAGAGCAUACUUGUGAUGAUCUUGAUUUGGUAUUGUACUCUGUUUGGCUUGAUCUUAAUCAGGAUAGUAUUGAUUUGGUAUUGUACUCUUUUUUGUCUCGAUCUAAAUCAUGGUCUUGAUUUGGUUCUCUGGUCUCUCCUAGUCUUUCUAGUCUUCCAAAUUAUUGUUGUUGGUAGAUCCCCGCAUGCAGAUUCCCGAUUGAAUACGGUAAAGAACAGUUGAGCCAAUAUAAAUAGCCAGACAAGAAAAAAUCCAGACGAAAAUUUUGCCUUAAAUUUUGCCUCUUUAGUAUUAGGUAUAGAUAUAGAUUAGUAUUAGGUAUAGAUAUAGAUUAGUUGCAUUGAGAUUAAAAGAUAGCCGUUCGCACUCGGUUCCUCCCGCGCCGCACCUCAGGCCGUCAGUCGCGUCCGCUCGCCCCGCCAUUCAGGCGACCGGCUCCAUCUCUAACCUCCCACUCCGGCCAACUCGCCCCUGUGGCACUGCCCCCUUCCCCUCCGCAUCGCGCUGCCCCUUCAACUGCUGCGGUGUGCGGCUGCCUCCUCCCAGAGCCCCAGCGCGAAGUAGUCGGCACCAGCGGUGGCGGCAGCGCCCCUUCUGCAGCACCGGCGAACAACCUCCCUCGGCGGCUUCAAGCAAGUUGAGCACAGUAGAUACAGAACACCCUAGUCCGUAGAUCCACCCUUCAGUCAACUGUUGAAAAGUUCCUUAUCUAAUUCUUUUGAUUGCACAUUUGGUUUACAAAAUGAGUUCAAAAAUUGGUCAAACUAGAAACUAUGCGCGGUGUUGCCGCGCUGCUACCUGCGUUGGCCAAUUUGCAUGUGAUUCGUGAGUCUUGCAUGUUUUAGACCAGUCUUGCAUGUUUUACACCAUGGGUGUGUGAGCGGGCUCAUUUUUCCCCUUUUCUUCAUUGGGUAGAAAGGGUUACAUGGAACAGUAGAAAUGCAGUUAUUUAAUUUGUUGCGCAGAUAAUAAAACAUAUUAAUUUGAGACUCGACUCAAGUUGUGUAUAUACCAAGUGCAAGUGGGGUGGCGGUGGGCAGCCCACGCCAUACAUGCUGGAGCCGCGAAGUGCUUGUGGCCACAUGCGGCAGCUCGCAUAGCAUCACUUGCUUUUUGUGGGCUUUGCUGCAGCCCGUAUGUUGCCACAACCAAAACAACUCAGCUAUAAUAUCCGCUAUCCACAAGACGACAUACUUGCACAAACCUUUGGGCAAGCAGUGGUCCUUUGUUUAAUUGCUGCCCAUUAUCUCCAAGUCUAACUGCUAGCUCAUGCUAAACUGCUGCUACUAGUUGAGACAAGAACAGUUGUAACACCCUAAAUUUUCCUCUUUCGGAAAUAGAUGAAAAACAAUUUAAAUUGUUGUUUUUGUGCUCAUGGAACCCUAAACCCUCCCUUUCCCUUACGGCCUGGUGGCCCAGUAGAGCAGCACAGCUCCCGGCCCAGGCGCGUCUUCCCCUACCCUCACCUUCUCUCUGACUGGCAGUAGGGUCCCGCCCAUCGGUGUUUCCCCUCUCUUCCUGUCUCACUGCCGCACUGUCCCCACCGGUCAGUCUCCUUUCCCUUUCUUCUUCCUCGCCGUGACCAGAUCGGACUCUCCACCGAACGCAACCGAUCCCCAACCCCGGUAAUCACGGGAUUUGAUGCAAGGAGCCCCAUUUGGACCCCUAUAAAGCCUUUUCGACCCCCCUGGGAUCCCUCUUCCGCGUCUGCGAGCACCGAGACGUCGUAGCUACCGUCAAACGCGGUCUUGGAUCUUGCCAAGCCGCGAGCAAGGCCGCCACCAAGGCUCUUGUCAAUCGUUGCCGUGCCGUCGAAAUUGAGCAUAUGCCGAGCUUCGCAUCGAGGUAACGAAGCUCACAAGAUUCUUCCCGAACGUUUUACCGGUCUCUAUGCCUCUCUGAUCCUCGCCGAACGCUGCAGAGCUCCCCCGGUCCGCCAACCCGCGCGGCUAUCCUCCUUCAAGCUUGCUCCGAGCCUUGAAACCGCUUAGGUAAGUUCGCAAGGAGCUUCUCAUCGUUUCGGUGUUGUUAUUUUAUCGAAUCGUGGACGAAAUCAUUUAAUCGCUGAGCUCCGGCCGAAAUCCGGCCAUGGCGCCACCGUCCAGGGCACCGGCGGUGUGCUGGCCACCCCCUCCCUCAUCUGCGAGUUGAUCUGGGCCAUCCAAUCAAGAUCUAACGGACAAAAAUAAAACGUGUAUUGGCUAAUUGGCUAAAGAGCCCCUGCUCUUUUUAAGAGUAAACCCGCAGUCCCCCUAGCGCCUUUCUUAAACGUGUAUUGCUGUUUUGAAAACGUAUUCUCAUUGGUGGGAUCCGAUUACGCUUUCUAGUAUUUACGGUUUUGCCAUUAAAAUUGUUUUGGCCAUAAAAUACUUGUUUUAACUCCGAUUUGACCCAUUCAAAUUCCGUUAGAUUUGUUUUUACGAGCUCUACAUGUUAGUAAUACUGUUCACUUAGUUUGAAACAUUUUAUUUUCGUGAUAUUAUUUAAUUAAUUUCUUUUCUAUAUAAAAUCUUAGAAAAUUCAUAUCUUCUACAUUUUAAUUUCGAUUUUCAUGAACUUUACGAUUGUGUGAUCGUAGCGCUGCGUAGAAUAUUUUUAUAAACUUUUAUAUUUGUUUUACCACUGUUUGGUGUAUUGUUCUAAUUAUAGCUUGUUUGCUUCGUGUAUGAUUGUCUACAUUGGAUUGCGUGUUGUUGAUUGAUGAUCGAGUUUAGUCGGUGAGCUUUACGUUGGUGAUCAAGGUCAAGCUUUUGAAGACCAGCAGGCUCAGGAGAGGUUUGAUCAAGACAAGUAUAACUGGGGAUCAUCCUUGUUACCUAUACACCAUUAAUACAAUAUUUACCAUUUGCAUGUGUUCACCUUGAUGACCUUAGCAAAAUCAUAGAUGAUUGUUAUCCUGAAUUCCUUGUUAGCUAUUUUGGAUAUGCAUUUGGGUAGUUUUUGCUAGUGCUUGAAUAUAAUCCAUGAUCUUGUAACAUGAAUGUUUGGAUAUACAAUAAACAAUAAAAUAAGCUUUCUAGCAACUUGAAUAUAAAGGGUGGAAAGAACUCUGGCUUUUGCUGGAUUGAUCUUGACCUUCUAUAAGGACUUAUCCCUUGGCAAAAGCUAGGACAACUCAUACAACCAUGAGGGCUAUAUGGCUCUGGCUUUAGUCAAGUAUGAGUAACUUUUCUAGCUCGUUAGCGGUUACCCGUUAUGGCGCAAUUGGGGAAUAGCAGACCGUGGAUUCAUGCGGGUGAAUCACAUGGACUGACUAAUGAAACCAAGCGGCCCUAACUUGUUAGACGAACCUUUGAAAUAUUUCAUAGUGAUCCCUGCCGACCUUCCUUGGUAGUGGGUUAAGAGGUCGACAGGCCUUGGGCGAAAGGGUAAAUCAUGACUCAUGGGUAAAGAUGUACAACCUCUGCAGAGUGUUAAAUCUGGUAUACUAGCCGUGCCCACGGAUACGGGCGGCCCGGAAAACUGACGGAAUAGAUGGACACUGAUGAACAUGAUUAAUGAUGAUAAAUGAUGAAUUAUUAUAUUGUUUAUAUGUGUUAUUCUUAAUUCUUGUAUACAUUGAUCAUGUGGUUAUGGGAUUAAUUAUGCUACCUUGAUAUUUGCUAUCCAAUGAUUAAUAUGCUAUCUACAUAUAAAAGCUAAAUGCAGUCAAACCAGUGUCAGCUUAUUGAGCCUCAUGAACCCCUGGUUAUACUUGUUGAGUACGAUAUGUGCUCACUCUUGCAAUUUCUCCCACACCUCAGGAGAAGUUUUGGGCUUGUGAUCAACCAGUCAGUUGGAUCCUGUGGAGAGGAGUUAAUACCCGAAGUUUAGAGUUGUCUAUCCGCUGUUUGCUAUUAAAGGUUAUCUCUGUUAUACUAAGUACGUUAUAUAUUUAUGCAUUGUCUUUUGAUAUUACCUCUUACUUGUAGCUAUAUGUGAGAUUUGGCCUUUAAGACUCACAUAUGGUGUAUAUCUGGUUUUGUUCUUAAAAUCGGAUAUUACAACAGUGAAAAUUUAAAUAAAUAGACUAAGAACAAAGCAUUUAGAUUAUAGAACAAAGCAUCCCCAGUUACUCUUCAGAGGACAUCCAUCAAAGAACUGGAGAGAUUCAGAGAUCAUCAAUUUGGUGCCCAGAUGAAAUCAUCGAUGAAUGAUGAUUACGUACGAUCAUAGCUGAGGGCCCGAAGGCAGCAAGUCUGAAGACGAUGACAGGCUGCUGGGCAGGCCUACGGUGAAGCUUAGAAGGCCGACGACGCUAGGAUUCGCUGCCGUAAAAGACGCGGGUUGCGGCGCUGCUGGGUUACGUGGGUUGACCGCAUUGCGCCGCUAAAAAGAUGCAGGCCAUAAUGCGGGGUCUGGUGGGCUUGCGGCACGUGCUGCCCAGCGGGUUCAUGGCUCAACCCGCUGCCGCUUGCAAUCCUAGCAUGUGUGCACAUGAUAAAUCUCACGCUAUUUUGUUCAUGGAAUGGUAAUGAAAAUAGAAAUGAAUUCGGAUCACAGCAUAUUUGUUGGUGUAAUAGUGAUGCCACUUUGUUUGGUUAGACUCGGUAAUGUUCUUCUGAACAUAACUCCAUAAUAUCAUCAGAUCUCGCUCUGCACACAAGAGGGUGGCAGAUGUUUCAUUAAAACCAAUAUAAUAAACCUUGCACUUGCCUGUCUACGGUCUAAAGGCCAACUCAGAGUUCUAGAUAUAUAAAAUCCUAAAAACUUCCCACCAACUCUAUAUAUUGUGGUCAGUUAGCUAGUCUAACUUGUUGAACAUUCGUAGAUAUUUCUAAACCAUUUGUACUUAAUAACAGGUCCUACUAGCAUUACUUAUCAGGCUAAUUUUUGCAGCUGAAAUAUUCUAAUCCUUAGAAUUUUGAGAUGCUUUAGUAAUGGAAACAUUCAGAGCAAGGAUAUAGCUGCAUGUGAGUAAGGAUGCAUGCAGGCACUAAAAUAAUAAGUUUAUGAAGCAUGAUCUGACAACUUGUGAUUCCAAAUUAGUCCAGGCAUUUCCAAAUUCUCAAGUAAGAAUGGAAAUGCUGAACAAGUGACCAUAGAUUAACUGGUACUCAGUACUGAGCAAUUGCUGAAUGUCCUUGAAAAGGAAGGCAUACCAAUGCAGGAGGAGCUUCUCCAGGCGUUGUUGAUGUGCUCCUCUUAUUUGUGGCUUAAAAAAAUGGCCACUUGGGCCUGUAAGCACAGGAAAAAAGAUAUGUACUGGUCAAUAACAAUAAUCAACCAUUCCAACCUGAGUUUCUUGAAUCGUUGAGAGUCUUAGAAUUCAUACUAUAUUUCAUUCCAUAGAGGCAUUUUCUUGAAUAUUUUAGGUGUAACUGACAUCAAAGUUUUGUCAAAAGAAAUGUGAAAUGCAGGAUUAAAUCUUAUCUUGCUACCACAAUCAUGUCAGAUCAUAUUCCAACAAAUAUCAAGCUCUAAAUAUAAGAAGCGUGCAAAAAAAAUCCCUUAUCUUAUUGAUGCAGCAGACCAAUCAUUUCUUUUUCUAAUUCUUUCAAUUGUACAUUUGGUACAUUUAAUUUAGUGCUGUAGUUUGUUAGUCCAUGUAGUGGUUCUAAUGCACCGGAGACGUAUGUUUUGCAAUUUUUGUUGUAGAUGGACAGACGUUGGGUGCAUGGUGUGUUAUUUACACCUUAGUAUAUUGGUGGUGUGAAAUCUUUCAUGAACUUCAUCAAAGAGAGGUUUAAUGAGACUGAACAAAUUCUGUGCCCAUGUACUAAUUGUUUAAACCAUAAAUAUCUGCACCAGAAUGAUGUGGAGAGGCACCUACUGCUCAACGGCAUGUCCAGUACAUAUACAAGGUGGAUAAACCAUGGAGAGGGUAGCGAUGUUCAUGUUUUGGAGGAGCCAGUACCUGAGGAUGGAAAUGAUAAUUCUCUGGAGGAACGAGUACAUGAUGAUGGAUUGGAUGCGAUGUUAAGGGACCUUGUCAACUCCGAACAUGUAAAUGAUGAUGGACACCCAUCCAAUGAUGCUACAUCACGUUUCAAACAUUUGAUUGAAGAGGCUAAGCGUGAACUAUAUCUGGGUUGCAAAAAUUUUUCAAGGUUGACAUUUGUGAUCAAGCUGCUCCAUGUCAAGUCAUAUUGUAGGAUCACUAACUCAGCAUUUUCUAUGAUUUUGGAGAUGUUGUUAGAUGCUUUCCCACAGUUCAACACUGUUCCAAAAUCAUAUGAUAAAGCAAAGAAAAUGCUUCGCGAAUUGGGACUUGGUUAUAUAUGAAUUCAUGUGUGCCCAAACAAUUGUGUGCUAUUUAGGAAGACAUAUAAGGAGUUAGAUAAUUGUCCAGUUUGUCAAGCAUGAAGAUGGAAAGAUCCUGAGAAGAAGGUUCUUGUAAAGGUGUUGCGGCAUUUUCCGUUGAACCCUAGGCUACAAAGGUUGUUUGUUUCCAAGAAUUCAUCUGAGGAAGUACAGUGGCAUAAGUUGAAGAGGAAACAAAAUGAGAAGGAAAUGACCCAUCCUGCUAAUGGAAAGGCAUGGGAAGAUUUUGACAAGUGUUGACCUACUUUUGCUAAAGAUGCACGAAACAUAAGACUUGGACUUGCCAUAGAUGGUUUCAAUCCUUUUAGCAACAUGAGUUCAUCUUAUAGCAUGUGGCCUCUUUUGUGAUUCCAUACAACUUACCACAUUGGUUAUGCAUGCAAGAAUCUAAUUUCAUGUUGUCUUUGUUGAUUCCAGGUCCUCAUUCACCAGGGAAGGCAUUUGAUGUUUUCUUGCAGCCUCUUGUAGAAGAUUUACUUGAGCUACGGAGAGCUGUGGAUACCCUUGAUGCUAUCACAGGAAAAGAAUUUAAGCUUCAUGUUGUAGUGUUGUGGUGCAUUCAUGACUAUCCAACACUGAGUACUCUAUCAGGGCGUACCACUAGUGGUUACUUUGCUUGUCUCCAUUGUGACAAAAAUCCUCUGUCCUAUGCCAUAAGGAGCAAGAUAUGCUAUAUUGGGCACUGUCGUUUCCUUCCAAGAGGUCAUCGUUUGUGCAAGGCCAAUGAUUUUGAGCCUCUCCACGGUACUAGUGCAAAGCCAGGUACGUUCACCAGAGAAGAGUUGCUAGAAGAAUUAGAAAAGGUUAGAGAUGUUAGAGUUGGAUAGAAAAGGAAGCAUUCUGGAAAUCGUGUGCCAAUUUGGGGUAGAAGGGUUUGUUUGUGGGAAUUACCAUAUUGGUCAUCUCUAAAGCUCAGACACAAUCUUGAUGUGACGCACAUUGAAAAAAUAUAUGUGAAAGUCUGCUUGGUACCAUUCUUGACAUCAAAGGGAAGUCAAAUGAUACAACUAAUGCAAGGUUAGAUCUUGCUGAUCUGAAAAUUAGGAAGGAGUUGCAAUUGCAGCAUAAGGGAGAUGAUGACUAUGACAUGCCUAAAGCUCGAUAUAAGUUGUCCAUGUCAAAGAAGACUCAAUUUCUUAAUUUCUUAAAGGAUGCCAAGUUUCCAGAUGGGUAUGCUUCAAAUAUACAAAGGUGCUUAACUGCUGAUGCAAUCAAGUGGCAAAGCCUGAAAACUCAUGACUGUCACAUUCUGUUGCAAAGGAUUAUACCUGCUGGGGUGAGAGGGUUGUUGGAUGAUGAUGUCUAUCAAACAACUGCUGAGUUUGGCAAAUUUUUUAGGGAAUUGUGCAGCCAAAGACUGAACACAGAUUUGUUGGCUCGAAUGAAGACAAAAAUACCUAUCAUAUUGUGCAAGCUUGAGAAAAUAUUCCCCCUGCUUUUUUGAUGUUAUGGUUCACCUUGCUAUUCAUUUGCCUGAUGAGGCCAUCCUUCGGGGAGCUGUACAAUUUGGUUGGAUGUACCCAAUUGAACGUCGUUUGUAUACUCUGAAGAAGUCUAUUAGGAACAAGGCAUGUCCAGAAGGCUCAAUUGCAGAGGCUUAUGUGGUAGAUAAAGCCCUCACAAUCUACUGUAGAUAUAUGGAAGAUGUGGAGACAAGGUUUAAUCGGCUUCCAAGAAAUGUUGGAUUUUCAGAUCAGUCAACAUAUACUAUUGAUGUUUUUGGGCACGGUGUUAAUCUUAUAGGCGCAUAUGAUUAUUCGUACUCUGAGGAAAUUGAUCAGCUGGUUUGGUAUGUUCUCAAUAAUUGUGAUCAGGCCGAGAAAUUCAUAAAGUAUGUUCUAAAAUCUCUAUCUAUGUAUAUUAUAUUCAUUUUUUUCAGAUUAGUCACUUACUGAUUUUAUUUUGAGUUACAAAAAGUUUCAAGAUGACUUAACAACAUCAGGGGUGGCUGCUGCAGAUCUUGAAAGAAGUACAGAGAAUGGCUUUGUGCAUUGGUUUGACUCUGAAUGGUAUCCUAGUAUUUCUAUAAUGUUUUAGUAAUUAUAAUUAGCCGCUGAGAAAUUUCCCAUUGCAGAUGUGGAGGUUGAAUGCAACCGAUGUGGUUCAUGAUGAUUUACUUGCCUUAGCUUGUGGUCCUGACAUUGGAGUAAGAUCAUACUCCACUUGUGUUGUCAAUCGUGUUCGGUUCAACACCGCCGAGCCUGACAAAAACAAGACGACACAAAACUCCGGGUUGACCUGUACAGGUGCAUAUAAAAAUGGGAUUGAUUAUUAUGUCACACUUAAAGGGAUUAUUGAGUUGUACACUGUAACACCCAAAAAUUUGCUUUUGAAUUAAUAGGAUUUAAUUGGAUUUAUUUAAGCAUUUUGUGGGCAUUUAAUCUAGUAAAUAACAUAUUUGUUUGUCCAAAUUAAAAUUUAUCAUAAGUUUAGUAAACUUGGUUGUGCAUUCAUGCUGAAACAUAUUUUAUUUUGUGAUGAUUGCUUUUGGUUUGCAUUUAUUUAUCCUCAAAAUCCUCUUGAAAAAGGCUUUGGAAAAACAAAACAUAAAAGAAAAAUAUCCUUUCUCUCUUUUUGGCCGAAGGCCCAGCCCAGCAGCAGGUUGAAGCCACGCAUCGUGUAAAAGCUGAGACCUUGUGUUGCACCCUGUUUUCUAUCAUCAUGUCUGCCCUAGCUAGCUCGCCGUCUUGCUUUGAUUUCGCCGAAUAGAGCAGGAGACGUCCGCUGCCAUCGUUAAAUUCAUCUGCAAGUCGACGUUUCCCUGUUGGACAAUUUCAUCUGCCGGCUCUUACACAGAGUCAGAAUCGUCCUUGUGGCCAAGUUCAAGUCGAAGGAAAUCCAUCGCCGAGUCCCAUCUACAAACUACUGCCGCCACUGCUGUUUGUUUUGCGUUGUUCAUCCGCGGCUGCCGAACGUUCCAAUGCAGGAGGCACCGACCAUGCCAGAGGGCUUCGUUCGAUCUCUAUCUGUUUCAGCAUGCUAGCUAAUUAAGACCUCCCUGGUGAGUUUGUGAUCUUGUCCUCUUUCUUCCCAAACUAAUGCAUGAACUUAGUAAGCACGCCUACAAACAAACACAUGACAAUACGCAAGCAAGCAUACUAGAGUAGCCGGCCGUGCAUGCUGUGCCUGUUCCAAAUAGCUUGAUGACGUCACCAUGACAUCAAACAAGUAUUAUUUCUGUUUUUCUUUAGAAAAGUAAAUCCAAAAAUACAAUAGAAAUACACUAGCUUGUUUUGGCCAUAAAAUAUUUGUUUUAACUCCGUUACGACCCAUUCAAAUUGCGUUAUGUUCAUAAUCAUGAGCUCUACAUGUUAAUCUUGCUGUUUUAUCAGUUUGAAACUUUUUAAUUUCGUGAUCUUAAUUAAUUAAUUACUUUUCUAUAUAAAAUCUUAGAAAAUCCAUAUCUUUUCUGUUUUAACUCCGAUUUUUGUCAUCUUUACGUCUGUGAGAUCGUAGCGAUGCGUAGAAUUAUUUUACAAACUUUUCAUAUUGUUUUUAUAUGAUUGGUGUACUAUUCUAAUUGUAGCCUUGUUUGCUUCGUGUAUGUUUUCUUCGAUUGUUUGUGUGAUCGAUGAUCGAGAAUAGACGAUGAGCAAUUCUUGUGAACCAGAGUGCUUCAGUGAUUAAGAUCAGAGCUUUGAACAACCAGUAAGACCAGCAAGAUCAGCAAGAGCAUAUGGAUCAAGGCAAGUAUAGCAUUUGGAUUUUAUUUCUAUGACCAUGAUCCUGUGACUAGAUUAAUGCUAAGUAAUAAACGAUAAAAAUGAUUUUUUAGCAACUUGAUGAUUUGUCUGUACGUGAUCACCCGGGACAACAGUGCAACCAUGAGGGCUAUAAUGACUCUGGCUUUAGCUCAGUAUGAAGACCUUUUCUAGCUUGUUAGAGGUUACCCGAAAGGGCGGAGGGGCUGAACCGUUUUGGGUAUAGUGUGGCCUCUGUCUGUAUGUGUAUAGGCUGCGCGUCAUUGUGCCAUCGGAAGGGGGGCUCUAUAUCUGCGCGCAAAGGAAACCUUGCGGCCCUAACAUGUUAGACGAACUUUUGAAAGGCUUCAUAGUGAUCCCUGCCGACCUUCCUUGGAAGUGGGUUAAGAGGCUGAUCACCUCGGGCGAAAGGGUAAAUCAUGACUCAUGGGUAAAGAUGUACAACCUCUGCAGAGUGUUAAAACUAGUAUACUAGCCGAGCUCACGGUCAGGAGCGGCCUUGGGGACAUCUACAUUAAGGAUGAUGAUUCUUGUGUGUUAAUAUGUUCAUUAUUACUGUUUAAUGCUCUACAUUAUUUAUGUCACAUUGAUCAUGAGAUUGUGGGAUCUAUACAAUCUAGUUGCUAUACUUGUUGAGUUCGACAUGGACUCACUCUUGCAAUUUCUCCCACACCUCAGGAGAAGUUUUGGGCUUGUGGUCAACCAGUCAGUUGGAUCCUGUAGAGAGAAGUUAAUACCCGAAGUUGGAGUUGUCGAUCUGCUGUUUGCUAUUCGAGGUUAUCUCUUUUAUACUAAGUACGUUAUAUAUUUAUGCAUUGUCAUUUGAUAUUACUCCUUAUUUGUAGCUAUAUGUGAGGUUUGACUUCUAAAACUCACAUAUGGUGCAUAUCUGGUUUUGUCCUUAAAAUCGGGUAUUACAAAGUGGUAUCAGAGCAAUGCGGACUGUAGGACGCAGGCCUAGUUAGAAAUUGGACGUCUUAAGGUUUUGGAAUUGUCAUAAAAUCCUUGCUCUAUAAACCUUGGUAUUUUCAUCCAUACUAUAUCCCUACCCUUGCUGUUUGUCUCUACCUUGUUGCUUAUUUUAAAAGUCCUUGUUCUCACCUUCACCCCUUGAGUUGGUAUGCUUUUAGAACCUUCCCUUAUCAUCUUCUUGUGUUCUUUGAAGAGGAGUUUUAGGAUCUUUACCCUUACUAUGAAGAGAACGAUAGUAUCGCAAGUUGAGUGAAGUGUGAACCUUUAAUGCUUAGUUGGUUUGUCAUUAUGCUUAUGCUUGAUUUGGAUCUUUGUAAUGAUUGCAAUGAUCUUGUGGAUUUUCUUCACAAUUUCAUUUAGUUUAUAGGCCUAAGGCAUAAGGAUUAAUGAAAUACGUAGUUGGGUUUGGCUAUCUCUUGUUUCUAUCCCUUACUGAUUUCUGGAGCAGUCUGCGAUGAUUCUGGUGUAUCUCAAGUUUUGUUCAUGCAAAGUCUAUCAAAUUUUUCUUGGUAUAACUAGACUUCAAGAUAUUUCUCUGACCUCAAGAAUCACCCUCAUAGCUUUUAUGUUUUGGAAGUUACAAAAAUCACAAGAUGAUACAGAUGGGCUGUCAAGAAUCUGGACCAGUUUUGGUUGCUUACUGUUUGAGACAAAUAUACUAUAGAAUUUGGAAAAGUGUUCUAUAGAAAAGUUAUAGAAGACUUGCUAAGCUUUCCAACGGUAUAAGCUGGAACUUAUUUGGCUAAGUAUAACCUGACAUAUGAUAUUUACAAUAGGAUGUUUCUGUUCUGUAUCUAAGUCUGGACAGUUUUGGUUUCCCUAUUUUCGGCCAAGUUAAAGACAGAAUCUGGGAAAACAUGGUAUACGAAAGUUGUAGAGGAUUUCCUAAGCUUUUCAAAAACGUAAGGAUGAUCUCCAGAUGAGUUAAGUAGCUCGAGAUAUAAUUUCUGGAAGUUACUGCACCUUUGCUGAGACAUUAUCAGGAAGGAUAUUAUGUUUGGUUAUUUUACCUAUGAUUAAAGACAGAAUCUAAGGAAGUCUUCUAUAUGAAAGUUGUAGGGAAUUUGAAAAGUUUUCUAACAGUAUAAGCUACAGCUCUAUUGGAUUAACAGAACAAGAGUUAUGCCUAAUUUACUACACAGGUGUCUUUCAUAUCGCGAGGAAAUUUCAGGAUACCUGUUUGCUCUCUUGCACAUAAGUUCUUUGGGAUGUCAGAAGUUCUCAAUAUUAGUUAACUUGUCUGGAAAACAUGCAAGCUACCUUUCUCGUGCCCCUAGUUGACUUUUCAUAAGGGGGUAGCCUAAUUAAAGAAGUUACAAGAGAAGAAGUGGUUAAUGACUGGAACAUCUACAAGGACAUCAAGUGCUUGGUAUGUUGGUUUGUUUCAAGAUAUCAUCUCAUUUAGAGAAUAUUAAUGGAGAUAUAUGUCAUUGCUGAUACUCAUGGAUUGAGAGUUAUGGUUACGAGGAUCAGAUGACACCAAAGGUUACGAAGUUAUAUGUACAAUGUGAGAGUGAAGCAACUUAACUAUGAAAAAGGUACCGUGAAUUGGAACUUAGUGAUGAAACUAACCUUGGAUUAAGAGACUCGGUACAAUGAAUUUAAAAGACUAUGAUGUGUAGCGUCCAAAAAGGAUAGGAGAGCUAGUCUCUAGUGUCCCCCAGUCAAUCUCGUCUUAAGGGGGUAGUACCUUGAUAUCACUGGGUGAUGCAUUUCAAAACUAUCUUGAAGUGAUAAUUGUCGUCUUGAGAUAUUCUAUGGUUAUGAUCACCUAACUUGCCAUGUUACUGACGUUGGUCACUUGAUGACGGGGAGUGUAGUGUCCCAUGGAUCAGGAGCCCAAUAUGACACCUCUCAUGGAUACGUGAGAAGCGUAUGAUCAUCUGGACUUUGAAGAAAGAUGUUACAAGUAUGACAAAGCGGAGUAUUAUCUAAAUAAUAAUAUUUAAGGGCAAGUUGACAUUGGAUCAAAUCAGAAUCCACAACAAAGGAAGCGUAAAAGGAAAGCUCAUAAGGAGCCUGCUCUCGGAAGUAAAGUGUAGUGAAAUUAUAUCAAUGGAAAACUUCACUGAAAACCUCACUGUGCUAGAAUCACUCGAUAUUCCUUUGGUUCUUGGUAAUGGAUGGUUAUGAGCACACAAAGGAGUGAUCUAUGCUACCCAGCGGAAAAUUUUCUUAACCGCACCAUUGGGGAAAAGAAUUGAGUAUCAAGGUGGUCCACUCCUACCCGAGUAGGCAUAUCCAUGUUAAGUUAUCAUGUCCUUGAGUUGUAUAAGACAAAAGGUUGGUAGUCAAGAUGAACCUUGAGCAAUUACGAAUAAUAGACAUUUUAUCGAAGUUUUGUUCACAAGCUGUGAUCCCGAGACAUGAGUGUUUACUUUUGGAAUACAAGUGGUGAAGUUGAAGUAGUUAUCAAGAUCUUUUUCCUAUUUCUCUUUUGGGGUCCGAGCCUCUUCCGAAUCUCGAGGACGAGAUUCAUUUUAAGGGGGGUAGAUUUGUAACACCCAAAAAUUUGCUUUUGAAUUAAUAGGAUUUAAUUGGAUUUAUUUAAGCAUUUUGUGGGCAUUUAAUCUAGUAAAUAACAUAUUUGUUUGUCCAAAUUAAAAUUUAUCAUAAGUUUAGUAAACUUGGUUGUGCAUUCAUGCUGAAACAUAUUUUAUUUUGUGAUGAUUGCUUUUGGUUUGCAUUUAUUUAUCCUCAAAAUCCUCUUGAAAAAGGCUUUGGAAAAACAAAACAUAAAAGAAAAAUAUCCCUUCUCUCUUUUUGGCCGAAGGCCCAGCCCAACAGCAGGUUGAAGCCACGCAUCGUAUAAAAGCUGAGACCUUGUGUUGCACCCUGUUUUCCAUCAUCAUGUCUGCCCUAGCUAGCUCGCCGUCUUGCUUUGAUUUCGCCGAAUAGAGCAGGAGACGUCCGCUGCCAUCGUUAAAUUCAUCUGCAAGUCGACGUUUCCCUAUUUGACAAUUUCAUCUGCCGGCUCUUACACAGAGUCAGAAUCGUCCUUGUGGCCGAGUUCAAGUCGAAGGAAAUCCAUCGCCGAGUCCCAUCUACAAACUACUGCCGCCACUGCUGUUUGUUUUGCGUUGUUCAUCCGCGGCUGCCGAACGUUCCAAUGCAGGAGGCACCGACCAUACCAGAGGGCUUCGUUCGAUCUCUAUCUGUUUCAGCACGCUAGCUAAUUAAGACCUCCUUGGUGAGUUUGUGAUCUUGUCCUCUUUCUUCCCAAACUAAUGCAUGAACUUAGUAAGCACGCCUACAAACAAACACAUGACAAUACGCAAGCUAGCAUACUAGAGUAGCCGGCCGUGCAUGCUGUGCCUGUUCCAAUUAGCUUGAUGACGUCACCAUGACAUCAAACAAGUAUUAUUUCUGUUUUUCUUUAGAAAAGUAAAUCCAAAAAUACAAUAGAAAUACACUAGCUUGUUUUGGCCAUAAAAUAUUUGUUUUAACUCCGUUACGACCCAUUCAAAUUGCGUUAUGUUCAUAAUUAUGAGCUCUACAUGUUAAUCUUGCUGUUUUAUCAGUUUGAAACUUUUUAAUUUCGUUAUCUUAAUUAAUUAAUUACUUUUCUAUAUAAAAUCUUAGAAAAUCCAUAUCUUUUCCGUUUUAACUUCGAUUUUUGUCAUCUUUACGUCUGUGAGAUCGUAGCGAUGCGUAGAAUUAUUUUACAAACUUUUCAUAUUGUUUUUAUAUGAUUGGUGUACUAUUCUAAUUGUAGCCUUGUUUGCUUCGUGUAUGUUUUCUUCGAUUGUUUGUGUGAUCGAUGAUCGAGUAUAGACGAUGAGCAAUUCUUGGUGAACCAGAGUGCUUCAGUGAUUAAGAUCAGAGCUUUGAACAACCAGCAAGACCAGCAAGAUCAGCAAGAGCAUAUGGAUCAUGGCAAGUAUAGCAUUUGUGUCGAGGGUAUCAACAAGGGGUACCCUCACCAACGCGAAUAACGAAACCAUCCGUACGUAAAACUAGCGCCUCGAUUCGACGCUCCGUCCGCACACACGCACGACCAUCGAUGGCCGCAACCUCGAAGACGGAAAUAGCGUCGAGCGAAUCGAUCAGGCGUCGAGCGCCGGUUACCGUCGAAUACGGAACAGGCUCACGCGAACCGGGGGGCGUCGAGCGCAAGGUCUCCGUCCGCCGCCUGACGCGCGCACGCGGGCCGGAGCAUUAAAUGCGCCUGAUGCUUCCCCACCUAACAGACAGGUCACGGGAGGCGUGAUAGGGAACAGGCUUCCGUCCCAUCAAUCUUUUUCAGCCUUCCCGCCGAACGACCGAGGGCAUGACAGGGCGCGGGAAAUAAGGAUGGGACGUCUAAUCGGGACCCCCUCGAGACGUCUAAAGUCAGCGCUCCGGAUAUCAGCACAAUGUACGGCAUCUGACCCUCGACCAGACAGAAAUCCUUCCAGGGGACGGGUUGGGCGUCGACUGACUACAUCCCAACCACUCCGCCGGAUCGUACAAGCGUGCAUCCGUCGAACCAAUCCAAGACGGCGCGCAGAACAGAAUGCAGGGGCACGCGUGAUCAUCACCAGGCUAUUAAGACAGGACGGCUCGAGGUCAUGCCGGUACGGAAGCCUCGAGUAGGUCAGUGCUCCAUGCUGCUAUCGACUCCUAUUCUUACACCUAUACAUGUACCCUAGGUCCCUCCUUGGAACUAUAAAAGGAGGGACUCAGGAAUAGAACUAGGGAGAUCACGACACAAGACCACGCUCAUACGUAGUAGAGCUCCACACUUCAUACCACGCUUGUAUUCGCCCCUGUACAAGCACUUAGGUGCGAGAUAAUACAAACUCUCUCCCCCCCGCUGGACGUAGGGCCUUCUCUUGCCCGAACCAGGAUAAAUCUCUGUGUCUUCUUGCAUCACCAUCCGGGAAAGGGAGCACGCAUACAAAUUUACUCGUUGGUGUGACCCCCCGGGGGAAAACACCGACAGUUGGCGCGCCAGGUAGGGGUCCUGCGUGUUUUUCAUCGAUUUCCCACUCCUUUCCGGAUGGCUACUCUUGCCUCGCAGUUUCCGCGCUCCACGGUGAUUUGGUUUGGGAGUCUCGAGUUCAUGUCUACGGGCUCCGGCUACGACAUGAUCUUGCUCUCAGUCAAAGGACCAGGAGGAGCCCGCGUUACGCCAGCACGGUUGAAGGCCCCGAGACGCCCUCACCACCACGCCUCCCCGCCUAAGAAGAGGCGCGGACAGCACCACCGCGGCCCCUCUGCUUCAGCACGACCAACAACUCGUGCGAGGCAGGACGUAGGCCACAAGUCGGCAGCACCGUGUGACGGAGCAACAAGCGCGACGACUCAGCACCGCGCGACGACGGGAGGGGACGCGUCUCGCGCGCUCUCCCCCACCGCUGCUAGGCUACUUCCACACAGGUUGAUCACUCCAAGAGCGGCACUGCCGUUCGGAUUGGACAACGCCGCGGCGUCGCUCGCCAGGGCGAUAUGCCCAAACGCCCAGACAUACGUAGAAAGACCAAUGGUCCUCCCACGUAGCUCUGAAGCGCGGCGGCCGGCGUCCGAGCUGCCGGACCUUUCCCGAGUACAAGGCAUCCGUCGUCUAGGCCCCGGACGAUACUCGAUCACCUCCCUCAGGCAACGAUUGCUGGAGGAAGGACGUGGGUGUUUCUACGCCGCUGAACCGGACUCCGACUCCGAGACAGAUAGCUAUGAACCUACGAGGGAAUGCUAUCACAUCGACGGGGCGGUAGAAACUACUGACGAGACACGGGAUGCUGCUGCGGGUGGUCGAGCCCCCGCGGCGCGAGAAGACCCCAGGACGCCUGGGAACGACGGACAGGUCGACCCCCCUCCUCAGGAAGACAGAACCGCGCAGCUCGCGCAGUUGCGGGAGCUCAAGAUGAAGCUCGACGAAGACCGCGAGCGCCUCGUCCUGCUCGAGCAAAUCCUCGAGCAAGACCUGCCCUACCCGCCGGGCGGAAGUGUCCGUAGACGCGCUCGAGAGGUACAUCGACAGAUCAUCGGCGACGCAGAGCCAGAGCAACCUGUCAGCCGUUUCCCUCGAGCAGGCCAGAAUGUAGUGGCAGCGACGAUGCUGCUACGUAACAUGCCAGAGCCGUCGAAUUCCUAGGCCCGACGCAUUCGAGAUGAGGUACAGACAUUGCUCCAGGUGGCGGCGGUUCAACAAGCCGAAAGUUCGGCAUCUCGACGACGAGGAGCUGCCACAGAGAAGCGCGACGAACAGCCUCUAAACGAAGAGGAGGUGUCAGUCCAUCAACAACCUCCCCCUCGAGGUAGAAAGACCGCUCUCAUCCUCCCCGUCGACAAUCAACGUCGACACGACGCGCGGCACGACAUCAAAGAAAAUCGACGCCGCCGGUACGGAGACGCGGAAGAGCGCGGUUAUAGCGCGCAUCGCGGUGGGAGAUACGACAGCGACGAGGACCGGGUGGCCCCCGAGCCACCAGGCCCACGGGUGUUCAGCAGGGCGAUCCGCAGCACGCCCCUGCCCAAUCCAUUUCGACCCCCGACCAGCAUCGCGAAGUACAAUGGAGAGACCAAACCAGAGUUGUGGCUGGCCGACUUCAGGCUGGCCUGUCAGCUAGGUGGCGCUCGAGGUGAUGAUCGAGCCAUCAUCAGACAGCUACCCCUUUUCCUCUCUGACACCGCCCGUCGAUGGCUCGAGGAACUCCCUGCCAAUCAGAUCCACAACUGGGUUGAUCUGGUCAGAGUCUUCGAGGGUAACUUCAAAGGGACCUACAUACGGCCAGGGAACUCGUGGGACCUCAGCAAGUGCAAGCAGAAGUCAGGAGAAACUCUUCGGGAGUAUGCUCGACGCUUCUCGAAGCAGCGCACUGAGCUGCCGCGCAUCCCUGACCACGACGUCAUCUUGGCGUUUGUCUCGGGCACCACCAGUCGAGACUUGGUGCGGGAAUUAGGUCGCAAUCGACCUCAGACCGUCGACGAGCUGAUGGACGUAGUAGCCAACUACGCGGCAGGGGAGGAGGCAGUCGGCGCCUUCUUCAGCUCAGAAGGAAGAAAAUGCAAGCAGCCCGUCGACGAAGAUGGGACCCCCAGUCGAGGCCUCAAGAAAAAUAAAAAGAAGCAGAAAGUGCGGUCGUUCCACCGGGAAGAUCCCGAUGACAACCUUGUCGCCGCCAUGGAUCGAAAGAAGCCUCGAGGCCCUCCGGAUGGAGGCAUCUUUGACAAGAUGUUGGAGGAGCCGUGCCCUUACCAUAAGGGAGGCGCCAACCACAAGCUCGAGGACUGUCGUAUGCUGAGAAAGCAUUUCGACGGCCUGGGGUUCAAAAAAGAUACACCACCUCCAUGUCGUAGGAGAAGCCCGAGCAGACAACCGCCAUCGCCCGCUUCACCCCAAUGUGGAGGGCGUCCCGCACCCGAUCUCGCAGCGUCGCACCUAUGUAGCACAACUGGUCGACCAGGGCGUUGCCUCGAGCGCCCUCUCUCGACUCAUCCAUAGGCUCGACCUCCCAAGAGGUCAAGAGAUCACUUAUCACCGUCCGCACUCGACGGUUCAAGGCAACCUCCGCUUCGAGCUGAGCCUUGGCGUUGCGAGCCUCGGCUUGGGCGGCCAGGAGUUCGUCCUUGAGCCCUGUAAAGGGCAAUACGAGGCACUUUAGCAAAAACCAAACACACCUUGAAGAAGAAAUCUAGCGACAGGAACAUACCACGAACGCUCUCCUCCAGGGCCGUGUUCUCGCCGACCAGUCUGGUGUUGGCACGCUCGAUCUCCCUGUUGGAGCGCGCCAGCUCAGUAUUGGCGACGCGGAGAUCUUCGAUCACCUUGCCAGCCUGAACAAUGGCCCCACUCUUCUCCAGCAAUUCUGCCUUCAGACGCUCGACGUCGUUAGAGAGACUGCGAGAUUGAGCCCGCUCCGCCUCGAGAUCUUCGAGGGCCUUCUUCCUGGCUUCCUCUGCGGCGCCCCUGGCGACUUCGCCGUUCACAUGCUCCACCUUCAUCUUUCGGAAAGACUCUCGGAGAGAGUCCAGGUCGGAUUUAAGGAGGCCCUUCUCCUUGUCCAAAUCCGCGAUGACGUUCUUGUAGGACAGGACCUCCUCCCUGGCCUUAGACGCGGCCUCCUCGACCGUAAGGGCGCGCUCCCGCAGCAGCACUGUCUCCUCCUCCGACUUCUUCGAGGCCUCUCGAGCCUCGGCCAAAGCAGCCUCCCUUACCUUUUUCUCCUCCUCAAGCGCUAUGAGAUCUUUAUAAGCUUUCAGGAGCUUUUCCUGCGACUCGAGGAGCUGGUCCUUGAGGAGGGGGAGCUGCUCCCAACCACCCCUCGUGGCGUGUAUGAAGCUGGACUUGAUGCGGGAGGUCUCUUUCAUAUCCUGCGAAUCAAGGGGUGUACGGAUUAGAACACAGAAACCAGAAAGCACCGUGGGAAUUGAAGUUCGAGAAACACUUACGAAAUAAGCCGGGCCGAGCCCGUUGUUAACAACGUCUCAGAGGAGCCCCACCACAUGCUUCAUCCAAAGGCGGAGCUCCUCGACGUGUUCCCACUUCUCCGGCUCCUUCCGAUCGUCGAGGAAGAUAUCGGGCUCAGACGGGUCGUGGGAGGCCCGGAUACGGAUGCGAUCGGGGCACCAGUGCUCCAUCUCCCGGUCGGCCCGCGCCUUAACGCCGCGGAUGAGGCCCUCGACGGUCUCGAGAGAGCCCCUAUGGCGCAGGAACAGGUCGACGAGGCAUGGGAACCACCCGUCGUCGUCCACCGUCUUCCAGGUCCCGUCCUUGGUCCCUGAUGUCCCGAUUUCGUCCUCUUCGGAAGGAAAGCGGUCCUCCCACGCCUGACGUUCCCGGAGGAACCCUGGGGCGAUCCCAUCCAUGCCGUAAAUUGUCCUCUUGAUCUCAGACUCGGGGUCGGGGGGGGUGCGCUUCAGGCAUGCAAGCGCCACCACUCCAUCCGCUCGCCCCGGCUCCGCCCGGAUCGCGACAGGCGCCCCCGGGAGGAGCCACGCCGGAGUUGGGGGGCCGUACGCCGGCAGAUUCUCCUCCUGCUCGCCGGGCUCUUGUGGCUCCGAUGGUACUGGCUGGGCCGGACCUUGGGGCGGAGGCUCGAGCAGUCCCUCCUCUUGGCCCCCCUGCUGCUGCUGCUGUUGCUGCUGCGGUUGUUGCUGCUGUUGCUGUUGCUGCUGCGGUGUUUGCUGCUGCUGCUGUUGCUGUUGCUGCUGUUGUUGCUGCUGCUGUUGCUGCUGCGGUUGUUGUUGUUGCUGCUGCUGCUGCUGUGCCUCGUGCUCCUGCGGCUGCCGCGCCGCCUCGCGCUCCCGCUGUUCAUCCUCCUCCCUCUUCUUUUUCUGCUCCUCGAGGGUACGGAGGCCGGCGGGCCAGGGAGUUGACCCCGCGACACGAGGGCUCGACGUUUCCUCCUCCAUAGGGCGGGCACCCCCAGACGCUCUGUCACCAUCAGACGUGUCGCUGAUGGUGAUAGGUUCCCCCUCGACCCCCAAUCGAGGGGGCUCGGGGGCUCCCUCUGACGCUUGCGUCUGGGACGCCUCGCCACAAGUCGGCGGCGACGAGGCAGGCACGGGAUGAGGCGGACUCCUCUCGACACCGGCUGGAGGUUGGGAGUCGGAGGAGCCUACAAAACAAGGGAUAAAGGUUAGACGCUGUAAUAACCGACGCGAGAACAUCACAGGGCCCAUAAACAAGCUAUAAACCUGGUUCCUUGGAGGCGGUUCCCGUUUUGAGCCUCUUUGCCAUGGACGGCUGGGCCCGCUCGAGGGUCCGCUUUAGCCUGAGAAAAGAUCGGCAUAUGAGCAAACGCAGAGGAGCAGGAAGACAAAGGCCACAGCAUCGAAAGGGCUUACCCUACAGGAAGAAUAGCUCGCCUCCCGCCGCCCUGACCGGCGGGCCUCGAGCCUCCCCGCGUCAGGGUUCUAGGCCCCUCGAGGGCAGGCGCGGGCCUAGGCGCAUCAGUUCCCGCGUGGCGGGCGCCGGGACUGGCACUCCUGCGGCCGGCCUCUCCUUUCUCGGAGGCCGCGGCACGACCGCGGGUCAGUGGCCCCGUCGCCUGGGGCCUAGCAUGACCACUCUCCCUGGGCGCCGGGGGAGGGCGCGGGGCAACUUGACCAACCUUGGGCGCAGGAGGGGUAUCGGCGCGAGGACGGAGGGAUCCGCCUGGGCCCUCCGACGAAGCUUCCACCCGAGGAGCGUCGGCCUCGCCUUGAGAUGGACCCCCGAGGAUCCGGUCAAGGCGAGACGCCAUCCCCUCGGAGUCCUCACUAUCCUCAUCGUCGUCAUCAUCUUUCUCGCUGGGGGACUCUUCUUCAGGCUCUCCCCUCUGCCUGGAUUUGGACCGGCGUGCCUCUAAAGCUUGCCGGUCAAGGUUUUUCUUCUUCUCCCCUUUCUUCUUAGAGUGCUUGACGGACUUCGAUUUCUCGGCGGAACGGCGCCGCGCGUCGCGAUCGACUUCGUCCUCCUUCACCGGGGGCCUCGAGGAUCGAACGUCGAUCCGCCCCUGCCAUAGUAAAAAUAGAAUCAGAAAAAAGGGGUGGAAAAGGAACCCAGAGUCAAGGCUACCACGAGGAAGAAGACAUACCAAAUCGACCGAGCCUUCAUCAGGCCUCAUAGGGAAGCCGUUAACGUGCGACGGCUUGAAAUCGCCGGCGAUGGCCGCCCUGACCCGGGCGGCGACCUCAUCGUCCGCCAGAGCCACGUUGGACAUCCGGCAAGCCUCGAGAUCCCGGGACGAGACGCCCGGCCCCAUUUCGUCCAUCCUCAACGGCCGAGACAUCAGGGGAAGGACCCUCCGACGAUGGACGGCCGAGAGGACGAGAGCGGCGGACAGGCCCUCCAAGCGCAGCCUCUUCAUAACGUCGAGGAGGGGGUCGAGCCGUGACUGGUGCUCCUGGACGACGCCGUACGUCCAGUUGUCUGGGCGCUCCGAGAUCAGACGGCCUGUGUAGACGGGGAAGAGACCGUCGUCGUUUCUCAGAUAGAACCACUGGGAGUCCCACCCAGCAUGGUUCGACGACAGCCCCACCGGGAUGUACUCGCGCGGCCUCUCCGUCUUCUUCGUCUUCAACACCAGGUUGAGGCAUCCGGCCCGCACGGGUUUCCUCACGCCGGUGGUCCCGGUGGGGGCGUUGAAAAGUUCGCCCCUGUAGAGGUGAAGCCAUAGAUCCCAAUGGGGCAUCAUCCCCAGAUAACCCUCGCACACCGCGGCGAAGACCGCCGCGACGGUGAUGGCGUUCGGGGAAAAAUGCUGAAGCUCCACCCCGUAGUGGAAGCAGAGAGCCCGCAUAAAGCGGCUCGGGGGAGCGCCCAGGCCAUGGCGGUGGAAUUUGGCGAAUGACACCACGUAGCCCUCGGGUGGCUGGGGCUCCCUGUGACUCGCCGGCGGCGCGAUCCACUCUGGCGAAGACUGCGAGGUGCGGCGGCACAAGAGCCCUUCAUUCUCGAGCUCUAGCAGGCGGCGGUCCGUCAUCAACGAUGGACGCCAGUCGUCGGCGGCAACAAGCCUCACAGGCAUCUUGGUUGGAAUACGGCGGAUUCGCUACCGCUCGAGGGGGUGCAUGCGCGUGUGAAGGAAGCAAGAGAGCAAAGGCAGCAAGAAGACGGAGGCGAGAGAACGGAAGAGGAGAGAAAGAAUGGAGCAGCGCCACGGCGUACUUAUAGAUAGCGGCCAACCAACGGACGGAUCCGAUAAAUGAGGUAACUCCCCCUAUAAAUGCGCCGUCUAACGGUCCUUUCUCUCCUCACAGGCCGGACGCUCCGGAUUCCCCGCCGAUGCAGUGUCGCAACGUCACUUACCUCAAAAGGUGCGCCCAACGGGCGGAAAGACGAACCGGCAAGGCAGCUUCCUUGCUUCGUAAGCCAAGAUACGCGCCCACAAUAGUCUCGAGAGGUCGAGGGCUGGCCCAUCGAAAGGGUUCGACAGCCGAUCUCGAGCACCAAGAGUCAGGGGGCCCCAGCGAGUGGUCGAAAAUCGAGGCACGCCUCGAAAACUCGCUGGCGAUGUCCAAGGCAGGGUCGAGACAGUUGAGAGGAAUCCCCCGACGGGAGGCAUUGAGCCGCUGGACUCUAUCGAAUGAGACCGGUAUCCCCGACCACGUCGACCCAGCUUUAUGAGAACGCCUCCGGGCUACAGCUGACCCCCUCGAAAGGGGCACAGGUUCUCACUUGGACUACCCGCUAGGAACUCGAUCUGGAGUGGAAGACGCUCGCUCUAUCGAGAGUACGUCGAAACCUCCACGCAAGGCAAAGCCGAUCAGAACCUUCCACCACUGGUGUCGACAGUGUCUGUGCAAAUUAGGCAAAAUAACCCCCAAGGGAGUUAAAUACUCCCUCGAGGGCUCGGGGGCUACCCCCGCGGGGUCACUCGCGCGCCCCCACGAAACCUCGACUGAAAAGACAAAAGUCUCCACUCGAGCGCCAGCGCUCGAAUGGAGACUCGGGGGCUACUGUCGAGGGUAUCAACAAGGGGUACCCUCACCAACGCAAAUAACGAAACCAUCCGUACGUAAAACUAGCGCCUCGAUUCGAUGCUCCGUCCGCACACACGCACGACCAUCGAUGGCCGCAACCUCGAAGACGGAAAUAGCGUCGAGCGAAUCGAUCAGGCGUCGAGCGCCGGUUACCGUCGAAUACGGAACAGGCUCACGCGAACCGGGGGGCGUCGAGCGCAAGGUCGCCGUCCGCCGCCUGACGCGCGCACGCGGGCCGGAGCAUUAAAUGCGCCUGAUGCUUCCCCACCUAACACACAGGUCACGGGAGGCGUGAUAGGGAACAGGCUUCCGUCCCAUCAAUCUUUUUGCAGCCUUCCCGCCGAACGACCCAGGGCAUGACAGGGCGCGGGAAAUAAGGAUGGGACGUCUAAUCGGGACCCCCUCGAGACGUCUAAAGUCAGCGCUCCGGAUAUCAGCACAAUGUACGGCAUCUGACCCUCGACCAGACAGAAAUCCUUCCAGGGGACGGGUUGGGCGUCGACUGACUACAUCCCAACCACUCCGCCGGAUCGUACAAGCGUGCAUCCGUCGAACCAAUCCAAGACGGCGCGCAGAACAGAAUGCAGGGGCACGCGUGAUCAUCACCAGGCUAUUAAGACAGGACGGCUCGAGGUCAUGCCGGUACGGAAGCCUGGAGUAGGUCAGCGCUCCAUGCUGCUAUCGACUCCUAUUCUUACACCUAUACAUGUACCCUUGGUCCCUCCUUGGAACUAUAAAAGGAGGGACUCAGGAAUAGAACAAGGGAGAUCACGACACAAGACCACGCUCAUACGUAGUAGAGCUCCACACUUCAUACCACGCUUGUAUUCGCCCCUGUACAAGCACUUAGGUGCGAGAUAAUACAAACUCUCUCCCCCCCGCUGGACGUAGGGCCUUCUCUUGCCCGAACCAGGAUAAAUCUCUGUGUCUUCUUGCAUCACCAUCCGGGAAAGGGAGCACGCAUACAAAUUUACUCGUUGGUGUGACCCCCCGGGGGAAAACACCGACAAUUUGGAUUUUAUUUCUAUGACCAUGAUCCUGUGACUAGAUUAAUGUUAAGUAAUAAACGAUAAAAAUGAUUUUUUAGCAACUUGAUGAUUUGUCUGUACGUGAUCACCCGGGACAACAGUGCAACCAUGAGGGCUACAAUGACUCUGGCUUUAGCUCAGUAUGAAGACCUUUUCUAGCUUGUUAGAGGUUACCCGAAAGGGCGGAGGGGCUGAACCGUUUCGUGUAUAGUGUGGCCUCUGUCUGUAUGUGUAUAGGCUGCGCGUCAUUGUGCCAUCGGAAGGGGGGCUCUAUAUCUGCGCGCAAAGGAAACCUUGCGGCCCUAACAUGUUAGACGAACUUUUGAAAGGCUUCAUAGUGAUCCCUGCCGACCUUCCUUGGAAGUGGGUUAAGAGGCUGAUCACCUCGGGCGAAAGGGUAAAUCAUGACUCAUGGGUAAAGAUGUACAACCUCUGCAGAGUGUUAAAACUAGUAUACUAGCCGAGCUCACGGUCAGGAGCGGCCUUGGGGACAUCUACAUUAAGGAUGAUGAUUCUUGUGUGUUAAUACGUUCAUUAUUACUGUUUAAUGCUCUACAUUAUUUAUGUCACAUUGAUCAUGAGAUUGUGGGAUCUAUACAAUCUAGUUGCUAUACUUGUUGAGUUCGAUAUGGACUCACUCUUGCAAUUUCUCCCACACCUCAGGAGAAGUUUUGGGCUUGUGGUCAACCAGUCAGUUGGAUCCUGUAGAGAGAAGUUAAUACCCGAAGUUGGAGUUGUCGAUCUGCUGUUUGCUAUUAGAGGUUAUCUCUUUUAUACUAAGUACGUUAUAUAUUUAUGCAUUGUCAUUUGAUAUUACCCCUUAUUUGUAGCUAUAUGUGAGGUUUGACUUCUAAAACUCACAUAUGGUGCAUAUCUGGUUUUGUCCUUAAAAUCGGGUAUUACAAAGUGGUAUUAGAGCAAUGCUGACUGUAGGACGCAGGCCUAGUUAGAAAUUGGACGUCUUAAGGUUUUGGAAUUGUCAUAAAAUCCUUGCUCUAUAAACCUUGGUAUUUUCAUCCAUACUAUAUCCCUACCCAUGCUGUUUCUCUCUACCUUGUUGCUUAUUUUAAAAGUCCUUGUUCUCACCUUCACCCCUUGAGUUGGUAUGCUUUUAGAACCUUCCCUUAUCAUCUUCUUGUGUUCUUUGAAGAGGAGUUUUAGGAUCUUUACCCUUACUAUGAAGAGAACGAUAGUAUCGCAAGUUGAGUGAAGUGUGAACCUUUAAUGCUUAGUUGGUUUGUCAUUAUGCUUAUGCUUGAUUUGGAUCUUUGUAAUGAUUGCAAUGAUCUUGUGGAUUUUCUUCACAAUUUCAUUUAGUUUAUAGGCCUAAGGCAUAAGGAUUAAUGAAAUACGUAGUUGGGUUUGGCUAUCUCUUGUUUCUAUCCCUUACUGAUUUCUGGAGCAGUCUGCGAUGAUUCUGGUGUAUCUCAAGUUUUGUUCAUGCAAAGUCUAUCAAAUUUUUCUGGCAAUAACUAGACUUCAAGAUAUUUCUCUGACCUCAAGAAUCACCCUCAUAGCGUUUAUGUUUUGGAAGUUACAAAAAUCACAAGAUGAUACAGAUGGGCUGUCAAGAAUCUGGACCAGUUUUGGUUGCUUACUGUUUGAGACAAAUAUACUAUAGAAUUUGGAAAAGUGUUCUAUAGAAAAGUUAUAGAAGACUUGCUAAGCUUUCCAACGGUAUAAGCUGGAACUUAUUUGGCUAAGUAUAACCUGAGAUAUGAUAGUUACAAUAGGAUGUUUCUGUUCUGUAUCAAAGUCUGGACAGUUUUGGUUUCCCUAUUUUCGGCCAAGUUAAAGACAGAAUCUGGUAAAACAUGGUAUACGAAAGUUGUAGAGGAUUUCCUAAGCUUUUCAAAACCGUAAGGAUGAUCUCCAGAUGAGUUAAGUAGCUCGAGAUAUAAUUUCUGGAAGUUACUGCACCUUUGCUGAGACAUUAUCAGGAAGGAUAUUAUGUUUGGUUAUUUUACCUAUGAUUAAAGACAGAAUCUAAGGAAGUCUUCUAUAUGAAAGUUGUAGGGAAUUUGAUAAAUUUUCUAACAGUAUAAGCUACAACUCUAUUGGAUUAACAGAACAAGAGUUAUGCCUAAUUUACUACUCAGGUGUCUUUCAUAUUGCGAGGAAAUUUCAGGAUACCUGUUUGCUCUCUUGCACAUAAGUUCUUUGGGAUGUUAGAAGUUCUCAAUGUUAGUUAACUUGUCUGGAAAACAUGCAAGCUACCUUUCUCGUGCCCCUAGUUGACUUUUCAUAAGGGGGUAGCCUAAUUAAAGAAGUUACAAGAGAAGAAGUGGUUAAUGACUGGAACAUCUACAAGGACAUCAAGUGCUUGGUAUGUUGGUUUGUUUCAAGAUAUCAUCUCAUUUAGAGAAUAUUAAUGGAGAUAUAUGUCAUUGCUGAUACUCAUGGAUUGAGAGUUAUGGUUACGAGGAUCAGAUGACACCAAAGGUUACGAAGUUAUAUGUACAAUGUGAGAGUGAAGCAACUUAACUAUGAAAAAGGUACCGUGAAUUGGAACUUAGUGAUGAAACUAACCUUGGAUUAAGAGACUCGGUACAAUGAAUUUAAAAGACUAUGAUGUGUAGCGUCCAAAAAGGAUAGGAGAGCUAUUCUCUAGUGUCCCCCAGUCAAUCUCGUCUUAAGGGGGUAGUACCUUGAUAUCACUGGGUGAUGCAUUUCAAAACUAUCUUGAAGUGAUAAUUGUCGUCUUGAGAUAUUCUAUGGUUAUGAUCACCUAACUUGCCAUGUUACUGACGUUGGUCACUUGAUGACGGGGAGUGUAGUGUCCCAUGGAUCAGGAGCCCAAUAUGACACCUCUCAUGGAUACGUGAGAAGCGUAUGAUCAUCUGGACUUUGAAGAAAGAUGUUACGAGUAUGACAAAGCGGAGUAUUAUCUAAAUAAUAAUAUUUAAGGGCAAGUCGACAUUGGAUCAAAUCAGAAUCCACAACGAAGGAAGCGUAAAAGGAAAGCUCAUAAGAAGCCUGCUCUCGGAAGUAAAGUGCAGUGAAAUUAUAUCAAUGGAAAACUUCACUGAAAACCUCACUGUGCUAGAAUCACUCGAUAUUCCUUUGGUUCUUGGUAAUGGAUGGUUAUGAGCAUGUUGAUAUUUGGGAACGCAAUAAGGAAUUGAUCCGCAAGCGCACGGAUAUCGGUGAGCACUUCACCCGGGAAAUUAUCCAGAGUAUCGUAUUUAUUUUUUUUACCACUAGGAGAAAGAGUGCAUCUGACUAACCGGUCUAUUACUACUAACCUUUAGGCACAAAGAAUGUCUUUCGAUGUGAGUGAUAAAUAGAGAAGACUGCAACCGUAGUCUCCUUCUAACCUUGGUAAGGAUGAUUUACUAUUCUAAUGGGGAAGCUAACGGAAUCUAGACACCACAAAGGAUGUUCGACCCGCACCAAUAAACCCUAUCCUUCCUGCUAACAAGAUGUGAUCUACAAAGGUAGCUCGGAAAUGUCACGUUCCUCACUACUACCACAGUCCAGCUAGUCAGGGAAUAUCUAUGAGUACCCCAGCCUAAACACCACGUUUACGCCAGCAAUGAUUACUCUAAACUCUAAGCGAAGAGAUUAAAGUAAACUCAUAAACCAUAAGAACAAUAAAACAAGAACUUACUAGAAUUUAGAAGUCGAAUUACUGAAGAAUCCUAGGAGCAAGCUUCGGGUUAGGAGAACUUGAUCCCGCAGGUACAAGCUUGGAGUAGACACCGACAGGCCGGGCUUCCUCCACUCUACACCUCCACUCUAUCUCUCUCAAUCUAGUAGAAACUAGAAGAUCUAUUUCUACCUUACAUUGAUUGCUAAGCCUAAAAAGAAAUAUUAAUUAGAGAAGAGGUUUUCCUUCGAGGGCACCCCUCAGUCUCUAUGAUAAUUUCUUCAUGUCUUCUCCAGGGGCCAGGGGGGCCUUGCUUAUAUAGUUCUCCCCUUCUAUGCGUUUUUGGGUCGAUAGGCGAGGUGGUACUAUGUUUUUCUUGAUGCAAUAGGUCGGUGGAAUAUCCCGAGCGAAAGAGUCCUGAUUUGGCUCCAACAGGGGGGCGGGCGCCCAGGCUACCAGGGCGGGCGCCCUGGGCCUGGCCCAGUUUUGCCUCCGCUUCGGUCUCGUGGCUUCUGGAGUCUUCUAGAUGUUGAAAAAUUGCGUGGUGCGUUGAUAUCUUUAUGUAAUCCUGACAUGUGGGCCUUUCUUCCUUAUUUCCUGAUAACCCCCUGCAGAAACAGAUAAACAACAAAACUCGUGGAAUUCUGUCAGAUCAAACCCUAAUUCUAGGUGAUGGUUGCAUAUUGGUCCUUUCUCUUGUUUAUUUGAUAAUUAAAAUUGAUACUUAAGAACCGUCAACAAAUACCCCCAUACUUAGGCUUUUACUCGUCCUCGAGAAAAGGAUGGUUGAGAAUAAUAUCUGGGGUAAACAUUUAAAACAUUCUUUAUAUUUGCAGGGUGUUAAAAAUCCACUGUGUACCAUAGUCAGGGAAGUAUAUGGUUAAGAGUAAAGAUCCUUUCUUCUCAAUCCUGUCACUUGGAGUUUUUGUAUAUUUUUGAAAGAAAGUUAGCAUACCUUUGAUCCUCAUAGGUUCUCUCAGAUCACUCAUUAUCUUUUAUAUAUAUCUCACUGAGGUUGUUUUAUUUUGCAAAAAUUCUCAAGCAUUCUUACUUUGCAUUUAUUGCCUGAUCAAAACGGGAUCCGAGGAGGGGAAUGUCAUACUCUUAGAUCAAAGACUUUAGAAAUUAAAAACUUUGUCAUCUCUUGCUGGCAUAUUGCUUAUUAGAGGGACCAUGGGCUAUCAUUUUUUUUAAGUGGAUACCGAGGUACCCCUAAUUCUACUGCCGGACACUUGUCCAUUUUUUCUGCGAGGUUGUCGAGCACUUGCUCCUUUUUAUUUCCUCGAAAUAUCUCUAUUUUUGUAUAGCCCAUGCCUCUAAUGCAAUAAUACUUCGGAAGAGUGAAUCUUUCUGAAAUAAUGUCUUGAUCUUAGGAGCAUGAUAAAUCUCUCAACAAGGGUCUAACUCAUUUUGAACAAACUCAAUACAGAGCAGAUAGCUUUUAUAAUCAUAAUUAAUAUUUUUAGUUUUAUCAGGCAUAUAAAACACUGAGGAUGGUAGCUAGAAUUUUGAAUAUUUUGAAAUAAAUUCUCCAAGCAACAAUGAUAUCAAGAAUAAGAAACUCAUACUCUAUCAUCACAUAUUCCAAUUGACUUAAGUAACACAGGGUUUUAAAAUGAUUUUAUAAUAAUUGCAAAUUUUUAGGAAAUAUCAUAGAUUGAGAUUAAUCAUGAUUAGAAAUAUUUUAAUCUUUUUAUUUUAUCAUGUCGGAAACAAUAAUCUGCAUAAUCCAGAAUAAAUAUAUGUAUGAAGUAAAGUGUGCAGAGUGUGUACCUGAGUCGUGGAGUGGUGUAGUUGGAGUGUGGUUGGCAUGUCGAGGGAUCUCCCCCAUACUUGUUUUUUGCUUUCUUGCACAAAAAUAAAGUAGAGACACACAAGACAUAAUAAUAAUAGUAAUACUCUUUAUUAAUCUUGAGGCAUUUAUUACAAAAGACUAGUAGCAAACUGAUAACAAACUGAUGAUAAUAGCAAACUGAUGAUAAUUGCAAACCUAAACCGAAUUUAAAGAUAGCUAACUAAGAUGCAUUGCCUCAAGGUCUAAUCUAGAUAACUUAGCGGCGCUCUAAUUCCUUGAUCUUUUUGUUGGCACUGGCAAAAUCCUGCCUAAGGCCUAGUAUAAUAGUGUUGUGGUUAGAGAGCUGCCUAGUGAGGGAAUUAAUCGAGGACUGGAGAUCUAUGAUAACUCUAUCUAGCCUGUGAACUUCCUCAUCAAUAUCCAUUAUAGUCUUGCGACGCUUGGGAGGUGUCUCAAAAGCAUUGAGAGAGUGCUUCGGGGCUGCCUUUGGAGGGAUGAAACGGACUUUGGCUGCUCUAAUCCCUUCAAAGUAAGGCCUUUCCUCCUCCGUAGUGUAGCGAAUACUGCUGAUCUCGCCGCUUCGGUUGGUCUUGACUCCAACGACCCUCUCAUUGGGUCUAGGGGGAAGGAUCCUUGUGCCGAUUGGCACCUUGAUAGUGGUCUUUGUCUUGGAUGAUGAUCCUUUGAGGAGUAGGGGUUGUGGCGGUGCGGUGAGAACUGGUUGAGCAUGGUAAGAUUGGGCGGAGUUACGUUGGCGUAAUGGCAUGGCUUCUAGCUGUCUUUCUGUGUUGGCCGGGACGAGAGCACGGGCAUCGGGGUCCUCCACAGGCUCCAUGUUGAGGUUGAAAGGGACAACUUCCCAAUCAUCGUGGUACUUCUCGGCCAUUGGAAUAGUAAGAAACUAAUCAAACUUUAUUUGAAAGAGAGCUAAUCAAGCUCUAAUUGAAGGAGAGCUAAUCAAGCUCUAAUUGAAGGAGAGAAAGCUUGGUGGCUUGGUGUUUGAAAACUGAGGUCAGGGGUCUGUUUAUAUAGGGGUCAAAAGGAUGCCUCUAUGGGUUGUUUGGGUUGCUCCCGUCGACGUGCGUGCGAAACUUUCCAUCUGAGGGAUUAUUCGGAUCACCCUAAGUGCAUUUUCCAUAACAGAGAAAGUCGGGACCGAGGGGGAACAGGGGCUGGGCGCCCGCCCACUUGACCUGGGCGCCCGCCCUCUCUCUGGCCCCUCUAUGGGCCCACUUCUCCGAGCGCGUUUCAAGAUGCAGAAUUAUUUAGAAAAAUAUAUAUAUGACCCAAAACCAUCAGACCAAAAGUAUCGGGCUCUAAUUCUCCAUGGGAAGGUAAAAAUGGACUAUGUCUAUUUCUUCAAAUUCCUCAUUGGGCUCUAAAAAUAAUUUAAGACGUUGACCAUUUACCUUGAAUAACGUACCUUCGCUAUUUUGAAGUGUGAUAGCUCCAUGGGAUGAUGAAUUGAUUACCUUGAAUGGUCCUUCCCAUUUGCUCCGGAGUUUUCCAUGCCCGAAAAGCUUCACCCUGGAAUUAAAAAGUAAUACCUUAUCUCCGAGUGUGAACUCCUUCUUCUUGAUUCUCUUGUCAUGCCACCUCUUGACUCUUUCUUUGUAGAUCUUUGAAUUGUGAUAUGCCUUCUCUCGCCAUUCUUCCAAUUCUGAUAGUUGCAUUCUUCUGUAAUCUCCAGCAACAUCUAGGUCCAUAUUCCAUCUCUUUAUGGCCCAGUGUGCUUUGAAUUCUAGUUCAACAGGUAGAUGGCAAGUCUUCCCGUACACCAAUUGGUAUGGAGACAUUCCGAUUGGGGUCUUGUAUGCUGUCCGGUAUGCCCAGAGUGCAUCGGGUAACUUGUCUUUCCACGUCGUUCCCAUUUCAUUUACUAUCUUCUGAAGAAUAUUCUUGAUUUGUUUGUUGGAAGUCUCUGCUUGGCCACUUGUCUGAGGAUGAUAGGGGGUAGCGACGUUGUGACGGAUUCCAUGUCUUGAUAGAUAUUGCUUGAAGCGUUUGUCGAUGAAGUGUGCUCCUCCAUCACUUAUCACUACUCUGGGAACUCCAAAUCUUGGAAAUAUAAUUUCUUCAAACAUCCUCUUUGAACUGACAUUGUCGGCAUGCUUGCAAGGUAAUGCUUCUACCCACUUGGAGACAUAGUCAACUGCCACCAAGAUGUACUCGCACUUCUUUGAUGGAGGAAAUGGACCCAUGUAGUCUAUUCCCCAGACAUCAAAGAGCUCAAUCUGAAGGUUGUUGGUGAGUGGCAUUGCAUCCCUUGUAUUUAUGUUUCCAUGUCUUUGACAUGGCCCACAUCUUCUGAUAUAUUGCUUCGUGUCUUCAUACAUUGUAGGCCAAUAGAAUCCACACUGCCAGAUCUUUGAAUGUGUACGGAAUGCUCCAUAAUGACCUCCAUAUGGUGAUGAAUGACAUCUGUCGAUGAUCUUACAUCCUUCCUCAGUGGUCACACAUCUCCUGAGUAAGCCAUCAGAGCAUACUCGAAAGAGGUAUGGCUCAUCCCAUAUAUGUGAACGACUUUCUUGAAUCAGCUUCUUUUUGUUUGCUCCUGGUGGUACAUACCCUGAAACCAUAAAAUUAACAAUAUCUGCAUACCAGGGGUCAGACCUGUUAAUCCCGUAGAGCAUGUCGUCCCGUAGUGAAUCAUUGAUUGGGGUUUCCUGUGGACUCUUAAAAUACAUUCUAGACAAGUGAUCAGCAACAGAAUUUUCUACUCCCUUUUUAUCUUUUAUUUCUAAGUCAAAUUCUUGGAGUAAUAAGAUCCAUCUAAUCAGGCGAGGUUUAGCAUCUUUUUUAGUGAGCAAAUAUUUUAAUGCAGCAUGAUGAGUGUAAACAAUUAUUUUAGCUCCAACUAAAUAAGAUCUAAAUUUAUCAAUGGCAAAGACAACAGCCAGAAGCUCUUUUUCAGUGGUUGCAUAAUUAAGUUGAGCUCCUGUCAAAGUUUUACUGGCAUAAGCAAUUGCAUGAUGCUUCUUAUCUUUAGUUUGUCCUAAUACUGCCCCCACAGCAUAAUCACUAGCAUCACACAUAAUUUCAAAAGGCAACGACCAAUCAGGGGGUUGAAUGAUUGGUGCAGAGAUGAGUGCUUUCUUUAAUAAAUUGAAAGAUGUUAGACAUGCAUCAUCAAAUUCGAAAGGAGCAUCCUUGGCUAGCAAAAGAGUAAGUGGUCUAGCAAUAAAUGAAAAAAUCUUUUAUGAAUCUACGAUAAAAACCAGCAUGGCCAAGGAAACUUCGAAUUCCUUUUAUGUUCACAGGUGGAGGUAGUUGUUCAAUUACUUCAAUUUUAGCUUUGUCUACCUCAAUACCUCUUUCAGACACUAAGUGUCCUAGCACUAUUCCUUCCCUAACCAUAAAAUGACAUUUUUCCCAAUUAAGGAUUAAGUGCUUUUCUCCACAUCUUUGCAAAACCUUGUCUAAGUUUUCAAGACAACUAUCAAAAGUUUUUCCAUAAACAGAGAAAUCAUCCAUGAAAACUUCCAUAAUCUCUUCAAUCAUAUCAGAAAAUAUAGACAUCAUGCAUCUUUGAAAAGAAGCUGGUGCAUUACAUAACCCAAAAGACAUUCUACGAUAAGCAUAAGUUCCAUAAGGGCAUGUAAAAGUGGUUUUGCUUUGAUCAUCGGGAUGGAUCGGGAUUUGAUGAUACCCUGAAUAUCCAUCCAAGAAACAGAAGAACGAAUGGUUUGCUAAUCGCUCUAGCAUCUCAUCUAUAAAAGGUAAAGGAAAGUGAUCCUUUCUCGUGGCUUUGUUUAGUUUUCUAUAAUCUAUGCACAUCCGCCAUCCUGUGACGGUGCGUUGCGGAAUUAGCUCGUUCUUUUCAUUCAUAAUAACUGUCAUGCCUCCCUUUUUGGGCACAACUUGUACUGGGCUCACCCACUCACUGUGCGGCACAGGAUAUAUAAUCCCUACAUGCAGCAACUUUAUAACUUCCUUUUUAACUACCUCUCUCAUAGUAUUAUUAAGUCUACGUUGGGGUUCUCGAGAGGGUGUAACAGAAGGAUCUGUUGGAAUACGAUGGGUACAAAUCAUAGGACUGAUUCCUGUAAGAUCUUGAAGUGAGUAGCCAAAAACUGAGUGAUGUUUCUCAAGAAUGGUCAUUAAUCGCAGAGUUUGAUCCUGAGUGAGUUUAUCACUAAUGAUCACAGGGAACUCAGGAUUAUUGUUUAGGAAAGCAUAGGUAAGACCGGGUGGUAAAGUUUUAAGCUCUAUGGGAGGUCUAGGUGUUUCUGCAAACUCAUCUAAGGGUUUAGGCUCGGAAGGUUCGUCUUCUUCUUCUGUGAAGAAAGGAGUUUCGUCUUCUAAGUCUGGUUUAUCUAAAAGCUCUAGAGAUGCAGCCUUUACUUCCUCCAUAGGAUCAGGUAAAAGAUAUGACUCGGCCUUAUUAUUUAAGGAGUGUGAAAUUAUUAUUGGGAAUUGAAAAGUUUUUCCAAAAGAAAUGUGUAGCUUUCCAGUAUGACCUUCAUAAAGGAGUCUUCUAAAAGGUUGUCCUAUCAACAGGUCGAAGUCCCAUGUAUCAAAGAUAUAGAAGUUCAAAUGAACCAUGGAGCCUUCUACUGUAAGAGGUAGGACAUUAAUAAUUCCAAGACUGGGGACUAAUCGUCCCGAAGAUUCCUUUAUGACCUUUGUUGUGGGGGUUAAGACAAGAUUCUUAAAUAGUUUAAGUGCAAAGGAUUCAGACAUAAUGUUGAUCCCCACGACAGGAUUAUAAAGAGCAUUAAAUCGAUCAGAAUUAUAAGCACAGUGUAUAGUUAUAGAGGGUGUGUCCAAACGGAUCACAUCAGAGGAAAGCUCUGAUUCCUCCAACCAUUCGCUACUCAUUAUUGAGAUAAGCUCUCUCAAUUGAUAUUCACUUGGUAAAUAAAUGCUAAACUGGCCGUUUUGGGGUUUGUCAAUAGAAUGGUAGUUUGAAAUAUUUCCAAAAUCGGCAAAAAGAUCGGAUUCUAUAUCCAGCAUGAAGUCCAGUAGUGGAAUUUCUUCCUCUUGUGGCUCAGAACUUGGGAUAGCUAAAGUAGAUGAAGAAUUUGGCAGAGUGUCUAUUUUGGUUUCGUAGGUUUCAUCAUGAAGGGUAUUAUCCAUCUCAGCUUCUAGGAUUCUAUCUAGGAUCACUCUUGCUUCAUCAGCAGGGAUGCGAAAGAAAGAACCUCUAGACAUUGUGUGUAGCAUUUGUUUGUGAUUUUUCUGAAGACCACGAAAAAAGUGAAAUAAAAGAACAGGGUCUUCAAGAUUAAGGUUUGGACCAGAUUCUAAAAGAUCAGAAAAACGUUUCCAGGAUUUUCCCAGAGUUUCAUUAUCUUUUUGUUUAAAAGAUAGGACUUCGAGUCUAAGGUCGGCUAUACGGUCAAGGGAAUAGAAAUCUAGACAAAAGUUGGCUCGUAAAACUCCCCAUUCACCUUGUUGUUGACUUACCUUCUGACUGUACCAUUGUCUAGCUUCUCCCCUUAAGGAAAAAGGAAAAAUCUUCCAAUGUAAAGUUUUAUCAGAAAUGCCUUCAAUGCGAAGACAAUCACAUGUUUGCUCAAAAUCUCUAAUAUGAAGGUAAGGGUUUUCGUCUUCCUUUCCCGAAAUGAUAUGUUUUGAAUCAUGGCAAUCAACCUAGAACUUAACUUAUACUAGGAUGUUUGGAUAGGCUGUGAUGAUUCCCAUGGUAAAAGGUCAGAUGCUAAAGGGAUUGCAGACUCAUGGAUCAAUUUAGAAUUUUGGUUUUCCAUAAGGUAAGAAUAAAGAAAAUAAAUAAAGGAUAUAAAAGAUAUGAAAAGAUAAAAGUAUAGAUACAAGCUAAUAGCAAGACUCAGGUUAUCUCAGCAACCGUCUUUCUCCCCGGCAACGGCGCCAGAAAUGCUUGUUGAUAUUUGGGAACGCAAUAAGGAAUUGAUCCGCAAGCGCACGGAUAUUGGUGAGCACUUCACCCGGGAAAUUAUCCAGAGUAUCGUAUUUAUUUUUUUUACCACUAGGAGAAAGAGUGCAUCUGACUAACCGGUCUAUUACUACUAACCUUUAGGCACAAAGAAUGUCUUUCGAUGUGAGUGAUAAAUAGAGAAGACUGCAACCGUAGUCUCCUUCUAACCUUGGUAAGGAUGAUUUACUGUUCUAAUGGGGAAGCUAAGGGAAUCUAGACACCACAAAGGAUGUUCGACCCGCACCUAUAAACCCUAUCCUUCCUGCUAACGAGAUGUGAUCUACAAAGGUAGCUCGGAAAUGUCACGUUCCUCACUACUACCACGGUCCAGCUAGUCAGGGAAUAUCUAUGAGUACCCCAGCCUAAACACCACGUUUACGCCAGCAAUGAUAACUCUAAACUCUACGCGAAGAGAUUAAAGUAAACUCAUAAACCAUAAGAACAAUAAAACAAGAACUUACUAGAAUUUAGAAGUUGAAUUACUGAAGAAUCCUAGGAGCAAGCUUCGGGUUAGGAGAACUUGAUCCCGCAGGUACAAGCUUGGAGUAGACACCGACAGGCCGGGCUUCCUCCACUCUACACCUCCACUCGAUCUCUCUCAAUCUAGUAGAAACUAGAAGAUCUAUUUCUACCUUACAUUGAUUGCUAAGCCUAAAAAGAAAUAUUAAUUAGAGAAGAGGUUUUCCUUCGAGGGCACCCCUCAGUCUCAAUGAUAAUUUCUUCAUGUCUUCUCCAUGGGCCAGGGGGCCAUGCUUAUAUAGUUCUCCCCUUCUAUGCGUUUUUGGGUCGAUAGGCGAGGUGGUACUAUGUUUUUCUUGAUCCAAUAGGUCAGUGGAAUAUCCCGAGCGAAAGAGUCCUGAUUUGGCUCCAACAGGGGGGCGGGCGCCCAGGCUACAGGGCGGGCGCCCUGGGCCUGGCCCAGUUUUGCCUCCGCUUCGGUCUCGUGGCUUCUGGAGUCUUCUAGAUGUUGAAAAAUUGCGCGGUGCGUUGAUAUCUCUAUGUAAUCCUGACAUGUGGGCCUUUCUUCCUUAUUUCCUGAUCACCCCCUGCAAAAACAGAUAAACAACAAAACUCGUGGAAUUCUGUCAGAUCAAACCCUAAUUCUAGGUGAUGGUUGCAUAUUGGUCCUUUCUCUUGUUUAUUUGAUAAUUAAAAUUGAUACUUAAGAACCGUCAACAGAGCACACAAAGGAGUGAUCUAUGCUACCCAGCGGAAAAUUUUCUUAACCGCACCAUCAGGGAAAAGAAUUGAGUAUCAAGGUGGUCCACUCCUACCCGAGUAGCCAUAUCCAUGUUAAGUUAUCAUGUCCUUGAGUUGUAUAAGACAAAAGGUUGGUAGUCAAGAUGAACCUUGAGCAAUUACGAAUAAUAGACAUUUUAUCGAAGUUUUGUUCACAAGCUGUGAUCCCGAGACAUGAGUGUUUAAUUUUGGAAUACAAGUGGUGAAGUUGAAGUAGUUAUCAAGAUCUUUUUCCUAUUUCUCUUUUGGGGUCCGAGCCUCUUCCGAAUCUCGAGGACGAGAUUCAUUUUAAGGGGGUAGAUUUGUAACACCCAAAAAUUUGCUUUUGAAUUAAUAGGAUUUAAUUGGAUUUAUUUAAGCAUUUUGUGGGCAUUUAAUCUAGUAAAUAACAUAUUUGUUUGUCCAAAUUAAAAUUUAUCAUAAGUUUAGUAAACUUGGUUGUGCAUUCAUGCUGAAACAUAUUUUAUUUUGUGAUGAUUGCUUUUGGUUUGCAUUUAUUUGUCCUCAAAAUCCUCUUGAAAAAGGCUUUGGAAAAACAAAACAUAAAAGAAAAAUAUCCCUUCUCUCUUUUUGGCCGAAGGCCCAGCCCAGCAGCAGGUUGAAGCCACGCAUCGUAUAAAAGCUGAGACCUUGUGCUGCACCCUGUUUUCCAUCAUCACGUCUGCCCUAGCUAGCUCGCCGUCUUGCUUUGAUUUCGCCGAAUAGAGCAGGAGACGUCUGCCGCCAUCGUUAAAUUCAUCUGCAAGUCGACGUUUUCCUGUUUGACAAUUUCAUCUGCUUGCUCUUACACAGAGUCAUAAUCGUCCUUGUGGCCGAGUUCAAGUCGAAGGAAAUCCAUCGCCGAGUCCCAUCUACAAACUAUUGCCGCCACUGCUGUUUGUUUUGCGUUGUUCAUUUGCGGCUGCCGAACGUUCCAGUGCAGGAGGCACCGACCAUGCCAGAGGGCUUCGUUCGAUCUCUAUCUGUUUCAGCACGCUAGCUAAUUAAGACCUCCCUGGUGAGUUUGUGAUCUUGUCCUCUUUCUUUCCAAACUAAUGCAUGAACUUAGUAAGCACGCCUACAAACAAACACAUGACAAUACGCAAGCAAGCAUACUAGAGUAGCCGGCCGUGCAUGCUGUGCCUGUUCCAAUUAGCUUGAUGACGUCACCAUGACAUCAAACAAGUAUUAUUUCUGUUUUUCUUUAGAAAAGUAAAUCCAAAAAUAUUUGUUUUAACUCCGUUACGACCCAUUCAAAUUGCGUUAGGUUCAUAAUCAUGAGCUCUACAUGUUAAUCUCGCUGUUUUAUCAGUUUGAAACUUUUUAAUUUCGUGACCUUAAUUAAUUAAUUACUUUUCUAUAUAAAAUCUUAGAAAAUCCAUAUCUUUUCCGUUUUAACUCCGAUUUUCGUCAUCUUUACGUCUGUGAGAUCGUAGCGAUGCAUAGAAUUAUGUUACAAACUUUUCAUAUUGUUUUUAUAUGAUUGGUGUACUAUUCUAAUUGUAGCCUUGUUUGCUUCGUGUAUGUUUUCUUCGAUUGUUUGUGUGAUCGAUGAUCGAGAAUAGACGAUGAGCAAUUCUUGGUGAACCAGAGUGCUUCAGUGAUUAAGAUCAGAGCCUUGAACAACCAGUAAGACCAGCAAGAUCAGCAAGAGCAUAUGGAUCAAGGCAAGUAUAGCAUUUGGAUUUUAUUUCUAUGACCAUGAUCCUGUGACUAGUUAAUGUUAAGUAAUAAACGAUAAAAAUGACUUUUUAGCAACUUGAUGAUUUGUCUGUACGUGAUCACCCGGGACAACAGUGCAACCAUGAGGGCUAUAAUGGCUCUGGCUUUAGCUCAGUAUGAAGACCUUUUCUUGCUUGUUAGAGGUUACCCGAAAGGGCGGAGAGGCUGAACCGUUUUGGGUAUAGUGUGGCCUCUGUCUGUAUGUGUAUAGGCUGCGCGUCAUUGUGCCAUCGGAAGGGGGGCUCUAUAUCUGCGCGCAAAGGAAACCUUGCGGCCCUAACAUGUUAGACGAACUUUUGAAAGGCUUCAUAGUGAUCCCUGCCGACCUUCCUUGGAAGUGGGUUAAGAGGCUGAUCACCUCGGGCGAAAGGGUAAAUCAUGACUCAUGGGUAAAGAUGUACAACCUCUGCAGAGUGUUAAAACUAGUAUACUAGCCGAGCUCACGGUCAGGAGCGGCCUUCGGGACAUCUACAUUAAGGAUGAUGAUUCUUGUGUGUUAAUAUGUUCAUUAUUUAUGUCACAUUGAUCAUGAGAUUGUGGGAUCUAUACAAUGUAGUUUCUAUACUUGUUGAGUUUGACAUGGACUCACUCUUGCAAUUUCUCCCACACCUCAGGAGAAGUUUUGGGCUUGUGGUCAACCAGUCAGUUGGAUCCUGUAGAGAGAAGUUAAUACCCAAAGUUGGAGUUGUCAAUCCGCUAUUUGCUAUUAAAGGUUAUCUCUUUUAUACUAAGUAUGUUAUAUAUUUAUGCAUUGUCAUUUGAUAUUACCCCUUAUUUGUAGCUAUAUGCGAGGUUUGACUUCUAAAACUCACAUAUGGUGCAUAUCUGGUUUUGUCCUUAAAAUCGGGUAUUACAUACACUAACAAGGAUGAUGGUAUGGAACGAUCGGUUGUUGUUUUUAGAUGUGACUGGUACAAAUUAGAUGGUAAGCAUACCUCAUUAAAAGAUGAUGGGUUCUAUAAGAGUAUCAAUAUUAGCAACUUGUGCUGCAAAAAGGAUAGUUUUAUUUUGGCAACUCAAGCGACACAAGUAUUCUAUUUCCCAGAUAAUAAGCAUGGAAAGAAUUGGCGGAUUGUUCAAAGGUUUAAUCAUCGCCAUUUGUAUAAUGUGUCCCAAAUAGAUGGUGUUGCAUCCACUGCUGCACCCUAUCAAGAGCAAACAUGUGUUUUGGACAUUGGCAGGAGACCAGAAGUAUCUGACAUUUUAUCUGACAUGUCUUUAAACCGAGAUGAUGAGGCUGGCCUUAUUGUUCAUGCUGCUGAGAUUGCUUUAAUUAAUAAGAAAAAUCAAAUAAAUGCUAAUAAUGAAGCUGAAGAGUGUGAUGAAGUAGAGGAUGACACAAUGAUGGAGUACUGGAGUGAAGAAGAGGCUGCACCUGUUGAAGUAGAUAGUGAUUAUGAGUAGUGUCAACUAAUUUUAUGUAUUUUAUUAUUUUCCAAGUUCGGUUGAACUACUAGUGAACCAUGUAACAAUAUUAUGUACUGGAAGCAUAACCUCCUUUGUACUGACCGAAAUGGCAGCUUGGUGAGGAAAGUGGUCUAUAUGGCCUUUGAUCCUGAACCUGAGCUGUAAUUCUCCAAAAUGUCAUUUCAACUUGGUUGUAUCAAUGAAAUUAUAGAUUUGGUCUUUAUUUUUUUUAUCUUGUGCGCCUACUCAAAGAGGUAAACAAUUUUUAUGUAGUCAUAGUGGAUUAUGGUGCUAGAUCGAUUGUUCUAAGCACUGUCUAAAUUCUCCAGCAGUUUUCUUAAAAUACCAGACCUCAUUAGUCCUGACAUGGAUACUCAUAUGUACUCUUGUGAUGGUGCUGAUGUGCACAAUAUUAGUUAUCUGAUCUGGAUGCUCAUAUGUCCUGACGUUGAUGCUCAUAUGUACUCUUGUGAAUACUGUGCAAGGAAAAAAUGGCAGCUUGGUGAGGAAAGUGGUCUAUAUGGCCUUUGAUCCUGAACCCGAAUGGUAAUUCUCCUAAACUUCAUUUCAACUUGGUUGUAUCAAUGAAAUUACAGAUUUGGUCUUUAUUUUUUUAUCUUGUGCGCCGACUCAAAGAGGUAAACAAUUUUUAUGUAAUCAUAGUGGAUUAUGGUGCUAGAUCGAUUGUUCUAAGCACUGUCUAAAUUCUCCAGCAGUUUUCUCAAAAUACCAGACCUCAUUAGUCCUGACAUGGAUGCUCAUAUGUACUCUUGUGAUGGUGCUGAUGUGGACAAUAUUAGUUAUCUGAUAUGGAUGCUCAUAUGUCCUGACGUCGAUGCUCAUAUGUACUCUUGUGAAUACUGUGCAAGGAAAAAAACAUCGGCAACAUCAACGACUCGUGACCAUGGUAUUCCUUAUCUGAUCUUGUUUCAGGAUUGUUGAAAACAGGCUGUGUCCGGCUAUGUUGCUGCUACUGCUGCUUCCAAUCAGAUUAGAAGGAUGGAAAGGAGGCAGUGAACCUCACAGGAUCAGGGGAUGCUGCUCUAGCGUCCUCUAUAUGAUCACAGGUAACCACUCAUCUGAAAUCUUGGUGUUUAUGUAUUCGAAAAUUUGAAACUAAUUUCGAACUCAUAAUUUAUCAGAGGUAACCACUCAUAAUUUCGAACUGAUUUCAGUUAGAGAUUGAUUAAUCAGAGGUAAUAUGCAUGUGCAAAGGCAACCACUAAACUGAUUUACUUGUGGAUUCCAUCUGUUGAUAGAUUUCGAACUCAGAAUUUUUCCUUGUACUGAGGAAUGCCAUGCUUCAUUUACUAAACUAGUUACUUGUUAUUUUCAUCUAUUGAUAGAUUUCUUUGCAUAUCACUUUAGCUUUUUGGGCUGAGGCAUUAUAGAUGGUUUCAGUGUAUAUGAUUUAUAUAAGAUAUAUCAUACAGUUAUAUUCCUCAAGUGUAUUGCAAGUUAAUUUGAAAACUAAGUAUGUUUUUUAAGUUCACUGUAAUUUCUAGACCUUGGAAUCAAUAAAUGAUACCCUGGAGCAUUAUAAACUAUACCCUGGAACAAUUUUUCUAGUUAAUUUGUUCCACAGCUUGCAGCCUAUUUUGCAUGUGUUAAAUUCUCUUCUUGCUGCAAGUGGUGUCCACUCACCAUGACAUAAUAUAUUUCAGGUGACUGAAUUUAGAUAACCAACUAUCAGCAUAAAUAGAAGGACUGAACUACAGUUCCCCUAUCUAUAUAUAAGUGCAAUUCCUAUUUUUUUUCUAUAUAUGCUCCCUCUCACAUAUAGAACAUGUAUGCAUAUCCCAUGUUUUAGUUACGCAAUAUCGCCUAGGCGUCCAGGCGUACCCCAGCGUCACAUGACACCGCAACGUCUCAAAAACAUGGGUCCAGAUCAUGACACAUAAAUGAGAAGACUAAUUGCAUAGUUCUAGCACAGAUCAUAUGUGAUGGUAGGUCAACAUUUUGCAAAUUUCAUUAACUAUCAUAGUCUGAACUAGACAUUGAAAUUGCAAAUUACAUAACUGCAAAAGACAUUGCCAUUAUAACUGCAAAAGAACUACAUGUUCCAUGGCCGAAGGACUACAUACAUGCUACAUCAGUCUCCCUAGCAGAACUACAUACAUGUUACAAACUACACAAUUCAUUCUUCGAGCUGUCUCAACUUUCCAUAGUCUUCCAAAAUGCGCCACAUAAGACUCCAGCUACAAACACAAAGAGAAUGCUACUGCUCUGUGUUCCAAAAGUUUUUCUUGCAGCCAACCUUUGCAAGGCUGCGUCCUUUCCAUCUAACUGCUUCUCUUUCUCUAGUAUCUGCUUCUCUUUCUCCCGCAGCUGAUUCUCAUACAUGAUUUGUUGUCGAAUGCUUGCUUGUCUUUCUUCGACAAAAUCCCUCUUUAGCUUCCUAACUGCAUUGGCAAGGUCUAGAAGCAAGGUGCCCAGAAAAUCAUUGUAUUGAGGAUCAAUCCAUUCCAAAUGGUUACAGUCUUGAGCCGUCUACAAAAUGAGUUCACAAAUGGGUGUAAUACAUGUAACCAGUUUGUCGAUUUCAAUGCACUAAAAAAAAA